rnacentral:lncRNA from 10 species
ACUUAAAGAAAGCACUUUACAGUUUCUCUCUGGUAUAUCUGAAUUGCCAGCCUCACUACUCUUGCACUUUGGGUCCAUUAUUAAGUAAGAUAAGGGUUACUUGAACACAAGCAUUAUGAUACAACAAUGAUCAAUCUGAUAACAGAGAUGGCUACUAAGUGACUCACGGCAGGUAGAGUAUACUGUGGAUACACUAGACAAAGGGAUGAUUUAUAUCCUGGGCAGAAUGGAGUAGGACAGUGAAAGAUUUCGCCAACAUAUUCAGAAUAGCAUGCAAUUUAAAACUUAUUUUGAAGUUGGAAGAAGUGGCAAAAUGUGAAAAGCAAGAAGCAAGUAUUACCAGAGACACCUAUGAAAAAGAAAUCUUUCUGAAGAACAUUUUUAAAGUGCCAUAAUCUGUUCGCUCAUGGCCCAUAGUGUUGGUGAGGCCAACACUAUAGCUGCAAGCACUUACUUCAUUUAAGAAGUUUAUCGAGAGCUUUAUAAAUAAAUUCUGUUCUCCAUCUACUAUGCAAAUAAAACUGCUGUAUCUCAUUUUGUGUGUAAUAAAUGUGAAUGCAGAAAGCAACCUUGCUUAAUGAGAUAUCUUGCCCAGGUCAUAAUCUCUUUGGUAUUUGCCAUUCUCCAUCACUAUCCGUUAUUACCUAUCACUCAUCUUCAUAGAGCAAAUACAUCAUCUUUCAUCAGGAAAUGGAUUACAU